rnacentral:ncRNA from 2 species
UACGUAGGGGGCGAGCGUUGUCCGGAAUUAUUGGGCGUAAAGGGUUCGUAGGCGGUAAUUUAAGUCAGAUGUGAAAGGCGCAGGCUCAACCUGUGUAAGCAUUUGAAACUGGAUUACUUGAGUUAAGGAGAGGAAAGUGGAAUUCCUAGUGUAGCGGUGAAAUGCGUAGAUAUUAGGAGGAAUACCAGUGGCGAAGGCGACUUUCUGGACUUAUACUGACGCUGAGGAACGAAAGCGUGGGGAGCAAACAGG